CCCCAUGUGGAUCCCCCAACACAGUCAAGAGACCAGCAAGCACAGUAAAAGGUCUCAGAAUACCAAUACAUGACUUACCUUUGCCAUUAGAAACAACCACCAACGCCCAAAAAUCUUCUUUAUACAGAAAACUCAGCAGCAUCUCCCAAAUGGGCAUCUGUUUUCUCCGCCACUCACAACCAAACUCAGUGGCAACAAGCUCAACAACCCUAUCAGCAAAAAAAUCAUUCAAACCCACCUUCUCUUUCUUCUUCACUCCCCUGAAAUCCUCACACACACUACAAAAAAAGUGUAUAUUGUGGCGGUUAUUUUCGUAUAAACUGGCGUUUGUAACUGCCACAAUAUACGCUUGUGGCGGUUUCCCAAACCGCCAUAGAACUGGCUGCCACAAAGUUUAAUGUGGUUGUUUUACACUACCCGCCGCAAGAUCGAUUGAAUAAUACCAAUUAAAAUGUCAAACAAAUUAAGAACCAAACGUGAAUAUAUAAUUUAUUAUAAUAUUAAUUUAUUAUAAUAAAUGUAUGAGAAAUGUCAUGUGAUGGAGAGUUUAGUAUUAUGGAAUUCACAAAUUUGAUUUCUCAAGUCUACUAAAAUACUAGUGUACGACUAUAAACUUAUACUUCACGUAUUUUUUUUAUUAGCAAUCAAGAAACAUAUAUACCCAGGAACCACUUAUUAUCAACAUUAUAAAACGUAUAAUUAAUCCAUUUUUAUGAAUAUUGAUUCUCAAUAAAGUUAGUAGAUAUUUUUCAGCAUAUAAUGGAAAGAAGAUAUUAAAAUUUAAUCAAAUUUUGGUUUCAUAAAUGUGGCGGCAGAAAAUUGAUUUGUAUAUUAUAGAUCCUGUGAAAACCUGCAUAAUCUUACAAAUUCUACUGAUUAAUUUCUUUGCCAAGUUUUAAUACUUUGUGGAUCUAAUUCUUUAGCCAGGCAAUAAUGGUUAGUUAAUUAGUAUUGUUUCUAUAUACAUGUUAAUAAUGUACAUGGGAAAACCAUAUAAAAAAUCAUGGUGUAGGAAGGUUCACCCAAGGUUUUGUUGCCUUCCUCUGCAGACAAGCAUUUCAUUGUUAUUAUAUCUUGUUUCUUGUGAUAAGUUUGUCAUGGUUUCAAAGAUAUUAGUGUGACUAUUUUAUUCCCACUUUUCCUUUCUACUCCCUAUAUAACUAUACAUCACCAAGUUCAUCCUUCGUUUUUGAAGAGGUAACAUGGAGAUAUCAAGAAACUUACAAGUGUAACUUUAUAUUACAUAAGGGUAAGAAUAUUCCAAACAAGUGACAUCCAACUUAAAUAAAUCAAUAAAUAUUCAAAUGAACAUUAUAAUCCAUAGAAUCUGGAAGAAAUGACAAACUACCAUAAGUACUGUUACUCUGCUUCUUUUUCUCACUCAUACGGUUGCUCUGCAUCAUCAUGAUAUGGGAAGGUGUCACAAUCACACAUGCCCACGGGAAUCUAAUCAAUUACACUACCUAUUUUCCUACCAAAUGUUACCAUUUCUGUUACCAACUACGCUGUAGCUCUACACAAAUCUAACACUUUCCUCAAUUAAUUUACUUCAAUUCACAAAAAUUCCUUUUGGAGUAGCCACAGAAAAAGACUAUAAACAAUACUCUAGAAGUUAGAUAAGGGCGAAAAUAUAUAAAAUAUUUCAACAAUUUCCAAUCAACAUUCUAACAACAAUCAACAUUUCAAUAAUAGAUAAACUAGCAAUCUCCUUAAACAGCUAAAAGAACUAACCUGGGACUCCUUUGUAGCACCACAAAUAAUAGAAGAAACAUUGGAAUUAGCAACACACCAUGCAAUCGCAAGUUGUGAUAGUGGAACAUCAAGCUCGCAGCCCAUCAACCUUCUUAAGCACAUCAUCAACCAAUGAUCGUGAUGCCAAAUUCUACGAAAAGCACCACACACAGAGACAAAAGCCACAAUAGUCAAUAAAAAAUUAAACAAAACAUUAAACUAAAUGACAGAUCGCAUAAGCUAAAAUCAGGAUUACAUAAAGAUUUCAUCAAAUGGAAACGUACUUUGUAAUUUUCCAAUGCAAAUAUGCUAGGAUGACUCUUUUACUAUCCUAGGAUGAGCCGCAUCGAGAAGCUAGCAAUGAACAGCGUCGGAACAUGCCUGAAAAAUUAACGAUCCAACGAAAUAGAUAAACUAAGAAAUUAAAGAAGAUAAUCAAAUUAAAGUAUAAAAAGAGAAGAUAAACCUAUUCGAUUUUGGAGAGACUGAGUUGCAAAGUCGAGUUGAUCCAAGAAAGAAUCUCAGAUCUGCCAACAAAGUAAGCCGCAUCCAUGAUUCCAAUGUUGGUCGCCAUUUCUCUCUCAAUCGUGGCGGACAGUCGCAGACCAUCGCGGACAGUGGUGGAGAGUUAAGGCGUGAACGCGAGAGUGAGGAGAGGUAGGGUUCGCGGACAAAAGUUUCAAAUCCUUGCGCAGAGGCGGCGAUGGCGAAUAAUGAAGGGCGCGAUAGUGUGCGAGUGAGUGAAGGGAAGAGUGAGUGAAGGUGAGAUAGUUUUGUGAAGUACAAAGGGUUUCGCGAAUCACAAAGGGUUUCGCGUGGAGGAUUUCGUGAGGAGGGUGGAGGGCUUCGUGAGGAUUUCGUGUUUAACAGAGUGAAAAGAAAGAGAAAGGGAAGAGAGUUUCGGGGUUCCUAGGAGUCAAGUUUUAAAAAAUAAUUGGAAAUAAUAAAGAAGGAAAACGUGAGAUUUUUAUUUUGAAGGAUAAUUGUGGCGGUUGAAGGAUAAUUGUGGUGGUUAGUCAAAUGUCGUAUUAUACAAAAAUUUGUGAAGGUUAUUAAUAACCGUCGUAUUAAAACCGUCACUUUAUACAUGAUUUUUUGUAGUGGCACUAGAACCGAAUCAGACAACCGGUCCUCCGUUCCAACAAACGCAUCACACUUCCGGUCAACCUUAACCUCCAAUUUCACACCUCCUCCGCACAACCUAUUUUUUAAUUUGAUUAUUUAUUAAAAUAUUAUGAUACAAUGUCAAAUAAAUUGAAUCAAAUACACUAUUUUAUAAAUAUUUCACAUCAUACACAUUACACAUUACACACAUUAUACUAAAAUUUUCUAUCACAUCAUAUUUCACUCAACAUAGAAACUUCAUCUUCUUCACUCCCUACUACUUUGUUGCAUCUUCUUCUUCACCUCCUCCUCCUCCUCCUCCUCCCACCGUCACAAGCUCCUCCUCUCCACCCAUCUCAGAAUGUCGGCACACCGGGCACGUCACAUGGUUCUCCAACCAAGUGUCGAUGCAGUUCGCGUGGAAGAUGUGCCUGCAAUGGGCAGUCAUCUUCACGUCCUCUCCCUCUGCCACCCCCUCCAGGUAGAUACUGCACUCCCCAGCUGCUUCGGCCACCACGGCCACCACAAUCAGAGGUCUCGAAGCCACGAGUGCUUGCCCUUGGAUGUUGUCGGCCGUCGCGGGGUGCGUCGAGCUCCUUCGCAUGUAGAAGUAUAUAAAAGAGACGAAGAAGAAGACGAUGAUGAAGACAACAAGAAGUAUGUAAGCAAGUUUUGGACUGAAGCUACUGGACUUUCCUGCAGUUCUUGGCGGCGGCAACGGCGAGAAACCAGGGAUAGGAGGAACGGCGAAACUUCUCUACAUGGUUGUUUCUCCGGUUGCUCUGUCUCGUUGCUAUGAUUUUCCGUUGUUCAUCCAUUUUAUAGAGAAAAAAGAAUCUUGUCACACGGUUGCUCUGUAUCGUUGCUCUGUAUCAAUGGAAAUCAUGUGCAGAUCCGAACCUAAUUCUAAGAACAACUUUAAACUUGUAAUAUUGAAGAUCAAAUUGAAUUUUUGCAUGAUGUGCAAAGGUGACUAAAAAUAAUUUUAGUUUCUAAUAUUUCUCUAUAAUAUUUCUAAUAUUUCAGUAUGGUUUUCUACAUUUAUGUUUUUGCAGCAAAAUAUUUGAUGCACCACUACAUUGCGAUUACGUGCAAUUACGUGCACUCUAUUUGAUGCACCACUUCAGUCAAGGAAUAUUCAUAUUCACGUCCUCUCCCUCUGCCACCCCUCCAGACACAUAGUACACUCCCCAGCUGCUUCGGCAACCACGGCCACCACCGUCAGAGGUCUCGAAACCACGGGAUUCGACACUACUUGUCCUUGGAUGUUGUCGGCCACGGAGUUCGUCGAGGAGGAUCGCCUUCGCAUGUAGAAGUAUAUCAAACGGACCAAGAAGAAUAUGAUGAUGAAGACAACGAUAAAUAUGUAUGCAAGUGUCGGACUGAAGCUACUGGCCUUUGUUGCACCACUUCAUGGCGGCGGCGGCGAGAAACUGUUUGGGGCAUGAGGGAGAGGAGGAACGGUGAACAUUCUUCUGUGCAUGGUUUCUUUUCUUUUCUAAGAUUAAAGUUGCUCUGUUUUUCAGUAUCAUGUUCUUCCAUCUUAUAGAGAGGAAUCUUGUCACGGUUGCUCAUAAUAUUAAUAAUAUUUAAUAAUAUAAAUAAUAUUUAAUAAUAUUAAUAAGAUUUAAUAAUAUUAGUAAUAUAUAAUAAUAUUAACAAUAUAUAAUAAUAUUAACAAUAUAUAAUAAUAUUAAUAAUAUAUAAUAAUAUUAAUAAUAUAUAAUAAUAUUAAUAAAAUAUAAUAAUAUUUAAUAAUAUUAAUGAUAUUUAAUAAUAUUAAUGAUAUUUAAUAAGAUUAAUAAUAUUAAUAAUAUUAAUAAUAUUAACAAUAUUAAUAAUAGUAAUAAUAUUUAAUAAUAUUAGUAAUAUAUAAUAAUAUUAAUAAUAUAUAGUAGUAUUAAUAAUAUAUAAUAAUAUUAAUAAUAUAUAAUAAUAUUAAUAAUAUAUAAUAAUAUUAAUAAUAUAUAAUAAUAUUAAUAAUAUAUAUUAAUAUUAAUAAUAUAUAAUAAUAUUAAUAAUAUAUAAUAAUAUUAAUAAUGUAUAAUAAUAUUUAAUAAUAGUAAUAAUAUAUUAGUAAUAUUUAAUAAUAUUAAUAAUAUAUAAUAAUAUUAAUAAUAUAUACUAAUAUUAAUAAUAUAUAAUAAUAUUAAUAAUAUAUAAUAAUAUUAAUAAUAUAUAAUAAUAUUAAUAAUAUAUAAUAAUAUUAAUAAUAUAUAAUAAUAUUAAUAAUAUAUAAUAAUAUUAAUAAUAUAAUAAUAUUAAUAAUAUUUAAUAAUAUAUAAUAAUUUUUAAUAUUUUUAAUAUUAUUAAUAAUAUAUAAUAAUAUUAAUAAAAUAUAAUAAUAUUAACAAAAUAUAAUAAUAUUAAUAAAAUAUAAUAAUAUUACUAAUAUUUAAUAAUAUUAAUAAUAUUUAAUAAUAGUAAUAAUAUUUGAUGCACCACUACAUUACGAUUACGUGCAAUUACGUGCGCUUUAUUUGAUGCACCACUUCAGGCAAGGGGUUCGUCGAGCUCCUUCGCAUGUAGAAGUAUAUAAAAGAGAUGAAAAAUAAGACGAUGAUGAAGACAACGAGAAGUAUGUAGGCAAGUUUUGGACUGACUGAAGCUACUGGACUUUCCUGCAGUUCUUGGCGGCGGCGACAAGAAACCAGGGAGAGGAGGAAUGGCGAAGCUUCGCUGCAUGGUUGUUGAUUUCCAGUUGCUUUGUCGUUGCUCUGAUUUUUCGUUUGUUCAUCCAUUUUAUAGAGAAAGAGGAAUCUUGUCACACGGUUGCUCUGUAUCGUUGCUCUGUUUUUCCGUUGUUUUUCCAUCUUAUAGAGAGGAAUCUUGUCACGGUUGCUCAUAAUAUUAAUAAUAUUUAAUAAUAUUAAUGAUAUUUAAUAAUAUUAAUAAUAUUUGAUGCAUCACUACAAUGCGAUUACGUGCAAUUACGUCCGCUCCAUUUGAUGCACCACACCAGUCAUGGAAUAUUCAUCUUCACGUCCUCUCCCUCUGCCACCCCCUCCAGACAGAUAGUACACUCUCCAGCUUCAUCGACCACUAGCCCCAUGUAGAUCCCCCAACACAGUCAAGAGACUAGCAAGCACAGUAAAAGGUCUCAGAAUACCAAUACAUGACUCACCUUUGCCAUUAGAAACAGCCACCAACGCCCAACAAUCUUCUUUAUACAGAAAACUCAGCAGCAUCUCCCAAAUGGGCAUCUGUUUUCGCUGCCACUCACAACCAAACUCAGUGGCAACAAGCUCAAGAACCCUAUCAGCAAAAAAAUCAUUCAAACCCACCUUCUCUUUCUUCUUCACUCCCCUGAAAUCCUCACG
rnacentral:lncRNA from 1 species